UACGUAGGGGGCAAGCGUUGUCCGGAUUUAUUGGGCGUAAAGAGCUCGUAGGCGGUCUGUUGCGUCCGCUGUGAAAACCCGGGGCUUAACCCCUGGCUUGCAGUGGAUACGGACAGACUAGAGGUAGGUAUGGGAGAAUGGAAUUCCCGGUGUAGCGGUGAAAUGCGCAGAUAUCGGGAGGAACACCGGUGGCGAAGGCGGUUCUCUGGGCCUUACCUGACGCUGAGGAGCGAAAGCGUGGGGAGCGAACAGG
rnacentral:rRNA from 1 species